GACGAACGCUGGCGGCGUGCUUAACACAUGCAAGUCGAACGGAAAGGCCCUGCCUUUGUGGGGUGCUCGAGUGGCGAACGGGUGAGUAACACGUGAGUAACCUGCCCUUGAGUUUGGGAUAACUUCAGGAAACUGGGGCUAAUACCGGAUAGGAGCUCCUGCUGCAUGGUGUGGGUUGGAAAGUUUCGGCGGUUGGGGAUGGACUUGCGGCUUAUCAGCUUGUUGGUGGGGUAGUGGUUUACCAAGGCUUUGACGGGUAGCCGGCCUGAGAGGGUGACCGGCCACAUAGGGACUGAGGUACGGGCCAGACUCCAACGGGAGGCAGCGGUGGAGAAUAUUGCGCAAUGGGCGGAAGCCUGAUACAGCAAUGCCGGGUGCUGAAGGACGGCUUUCGGGUUGUAAACCGCGUGCGCCUGUAACGAAGAGUGAGUGACGGUAACGUAUAAAAAAGCACCGGCUAACUACGUG
rnacentral:rRNA from 1 species